CCCUAAAGUAGGCUUAGUAUCUUUUUUUGGAGGUAGGUUCUCUUACUGUUGGUUCAUGGUCUUAUUAACGAAUAAAGUGGUUUGUGUAAGAGUGUUAAAGUCUGGCUGAGUAAUUUUAAAUUAUGACUUGAAAAUUUAAAUCCAUCUUUGACGUUUGUGUUUUGGCAAUUGUAUUAACAGCAUAUCCCUUGGAGCCUAGACGUUUCGUCGUACACUUUUUCUGCCACUUGUUCUAGUGUACAAUCAUGCUUCUUCCUAGCUAAUGCGCCCUCUGCUUCUAGGUCUCGGAG
rnacentral:lncRNA from 1 species